rnacentral:lncRNA from 10 species
CGACACCUCAAGCCACACACUCAGGGGCUCAACGUGCAGUCAGGAGCUCCCCGAGGUGACUGCAGGGUGGCCAAUGCCCCUUGCCACUCUCCUACCACUUUCCCCCACUCCAGUCCUGCCUCAGCUUCACCAGAGCCCCCAGGAUCCGUGUCCCCUGCACCCUGCAUGACUGGACGCCUGGGUCAUAUCACACCACAGUUUGCCACACCUGACUGCACGGCGCCCCUGGCCAGCCAAGCUGGUCAACACCUCCAGGACAGCGGCCAAGGCAGUGGAACCCAGCAGAGGUGGAGGAGAAGACUUACCAACCCCAGAGCAAGUAUCAGCACACCUCUUCUGUAAACACUCGAGGGCAAAUAUUCUGUUUUCUGGGCCACACAGUCUCUGUCGCAGCUACUCAACUCUACCAUCGAAGUGCUAAAGCAGCCCGUGUAACUGAAUGAGUGAGGCUGAGUCUCAAUAAAACUUUAUUUAC